rnacentral:lncRNA from 1 species
CGCCCUUCCGCGAGCUGCAGCGUGCAUGGGGCGCGAACCGACCGCGCCGAGGAGCCACCGGCCCGGGCCGAUCUGUGCGCGCCCUGAUCUUUGCGCUCUCCUCCGCCCUGCGCCCUGCGCCCUGCUGGCCCGCGGUCGCUGGGUAAACAGCGGCCGGGAGCCAUCUUGGGGCGGGGGACAGGUCCCCAGCCGAGGGGUGGGCGCAGCCUGGGGUUCUUCGGAGACCCCCGCCUUUCGUAGGGGGCCUCUGGGGCGUCCCUCGCCGGCUCCAGGGUCUGGGAAAACGCCCUCCCCGCUCUGGUGGGCCACGUUUAAACGUGAAAACCAGGCCUGGGCGCCAUCUUCCGUCCCCCUCCCCCACAUCCUUGUUUACCCGGCGGGAUCCGUGGCCAGAAAGAGUGUGUUGACGCAGUGUGUGCAUGUGUAUGUUUUUGUACUGACUGGGCGGAAAAUCGGCUGGAGGGGGGACCUCGCAAGCCUCAGACUGCGCUUCCCGGAGAACCCGCCCAGGCCAGCGCCGCUGUCCGCAGCCAGCCUGGGCCGCCGGGGCCGAGGCCUUUUGUGCGUUUCUAGGUCUCCGGCCUCGUGGACGCGGUCCGACUGACAAAAUCCUGCCCCUUUGUUUUAAAACCGAAGGUCAGGCCACCCUUGCGCCCUGCUCUCCCCGGCCGCGCCUUCGUCGCGCGGGCUCAGCCCCCCCCGAGUCUCGGUCACUUCUGCCCCAUUUCAGGACCGAACCCGGCGCUUCCCGGAAUCGUAGUGUUGCCGGCCGCGUGGACACGUUCUCCCCUUACGCCUCCCCCAGAAAAAAACCGGCAUCCUUCACUAGGUCAGGACACCCGAGCCACCUCCACCCAUCGCCCCAAAGCGCCUUUCCCGGUGGGGGCCGAAGUCCCCGCGCUCCACCAGCUUCUCGGGUAGGGGGCCCCGGGCGUUCGUCUGCCACCCGCUCGGGAAGCCUUGGCCAGGUGCUUGAGCGCCAGUUUCCAGGUCCCAGGUCUGGCAACCAGGGAGCUCCCGGCCUGGGCGCCGCUAAAACCCGGAGAGGCCGCGCCCGGGACAGCCAAGCUCGCUAUCCCCUUGCUGCGACUGGCUCAGCCACGAUUCACUGCCGAGCCGAGGUUUGGCCAGCCCAGCAGAGAGCGGCCUGGACUCGCCAGGGAGACCAGGGACGCGACGCCAGAGCCCCGCACGACACGGGGAUCGGGGCGCACGGCGGGCAGAGCAGAGGUGAGGCUCCAGGCCCGGCCCCAGCGGAUCCCUGCGCCUCUCGGCUCCGCCUCCGGCCCUGGCCUCUUCCCUUGGCCCGGGUCGGGUCUUCCACUCCACUGUUUGGCUCGGAGAGGACGAAGACGAGCUCGGUGCGCAGGGGGCCGGCAGCGGCCAUAAAUCACCACGCGGGCCCUCCUUCCCGCAGCUCACGCGCGGGGCCUCGCGGCCGGCUUCGCGUCCCGGGCCGUCCCGGGCCGCACCGGGCGCCCUGCUCUCCCGGUCAGCGCCUGGGGGACCCGAGACUGUGCGGGGAACCUGGCCAGCAGUUUCCCCGUUCGCCAAAGACAGGGACCGGCCUCGCCGACUCGGUGCCACCAUCAUGCAUCCUUGCGGUCGCCAGACCCCGAAGCAACCCGGGCCUCACCGGAUCGCUGCCUAGGGAAUUAUUCAAGGCUGGUUUCGGUUCUCUUCUGGCGACGACCGCAUCUUCGUACUCAAGGCACAGAUUACGGGUCAGCUCAAUUCGCCAGCGGCCGGAGGCUGCCUCCAAGCACCGAGCAGGACGGGAGGGAUGCUCUGCAAGCCGCGUCCGGCUGGAGGCGGCGGAGGCCUGAACGGGUCAUGGUCCCCGAAGUCACUAGGGACAGGGGACGUGGAUGGAAUAUAAGAGGGGAGAUCGACAGUCAAUCCCACCUCUGUCCCUUUCCGCCUGUGACCCCGGUCAGCUCAGUCUUCUCAUCUGUGACAUGGGCGUUGACACGAGUGUUCAGCAUGGGAACCCACCCCCGUCGUCUUCCACUGGUGCUGUCACCCGCGGCCUGGCUGAGCCGGGCACAGUGGGAGCCUCUGCAGGGCCCAGGGAAGGGGCAUGGCGGUGCCGAAGGACACGAGAAAUGGAAAGAGAGGGUUCAGCCACUCUGGCCUCCCAGGGGCGGCGAUGUGAGAACACGGCCCCAAGAUCCUUUGACGCUCCUCCUGUGGAAAGGUGGGGUUCCCGUCCCCUCCCCUUGAUGCUGGCCUCCAUGGCAGAAGGUGACGGAGUCGACAGUCCUCCCAGAACUGCCAGCUCCUGCUUUUUGCCUCUUGGGUGCUCCCUCUUGGAACCCAGCCGCCAUGCUGCGAGGAAGCCCAGAGGUCCCGAGGACAGGCCCGCGUGGAAGGCCCGGUUGUGCGUGUGUGUGUGUGUGUGUGAGCUCCUCAGAAAAGGGCAUCCAGCCCCAGUAGGUGCCCCAGCAGACGCCACGUGGAGCGGGGGUGAGCUGACCCUGCCAAGAUCGGCCCAAAUUGCAGAUUCACAAGCAAAUAAAUAAUUGUCGUCAUUGUGAGCCA